rnacentral:rRNA from 1 species
GACGAACGCUGGCGGCGUGCUUAACACAUGCAAGUCGAACGAAGUGGCGAACGGGUGAGUAACGCGUAAUCAACCUGCCCUUCAGAGGGGGACAACAGUUGGAACCGACUGCUACUACCGCCUAAUGAUGGAGGGGAUUGCGUCUGAUUAGCUAGUUGGAGGGGUAACGGCCCACCAAGGCGAUGAUCAGUCGCCGGUCUGAGAGGAGUAACGGCCACAUUGGGACUGAGACACGGCCCAGACUCCUACGGGAGGCAGCAGGGGGGAAUCUUCCGAAAUGGACGGAAGUCUGACGGAGCAACGGCGCGUUAGUGAUGACGGCCUUCGGGUUGUAAAGCUCUGUUAAUCGGGACGCGGUACCGGAAUAGAAAGCCACGGCUAACUACGUGCCAGCAGCCGCGGUAAUAC